rnacentral:rRNA from 1 species
GACGAACGCUGGCGGCGUGCUUAACACAUGCAAGUCGAACGGCAAGGCCCUGCUUUUGUGGGGUGCUCGAGUGGCGAACGGGUGAGUAACACGUGAGUAACCUGCCCUUGACUUUGGGAUAACUUCAGGAAACUGGGGCUAAUACCGGAUCGGAGCUCCUGCUGCAUUGUGGGGGUUGGAAAGUUUCGGCGGUUGGGGAUGGACUCGCGGCUUAUCAGCUUGUUGGUUGGGUAGUGGCUUACCAAGGCUUUGACGGGUAGCCGGCCUGAGAGGGUGACCGGCCACAUUGGGACUGAGAGACGGCCCAGACUCCUACGGGAGGCAGCAGUGGGGAAUAUUGCACAAUGGGCGGAAGCCUGAUGCAGCAACGCCGCGUGCGGGAUGACGGCCUUCGGGUUGUAAACCGCUUUCGGCUGUGACGAAGCGUGAGUGACGGUAAUGGGUAAAGAAGCACCGGCUAACUACGUG